ensembl:lncRNA
GUGAGAAGUUGUAAAGCCAACGCUUGAAUUCAGGUGUUCUGACUCUUCACCUAGUAGCUGCUUUAAGAUGAUCACAAUUGGGAAAGAAAUUCAGCUGGGAGAGCUAAAAAUAUAUCAUAAAUACACAUGAUGUCAUGAUACAUCAAAGUUCAGAUCUGAAAAUGUUUCUUAGUCUGCAGAUUAAAAAAUGUUUUUGAUGAGUCAACAACAUUCAGUGCUGUGAACUGUUCUUACUCCCUCAAGCCAUAGGUACAGAGAUCAUCAUUCUGUAUUUAGUUUGGAAUGAUGCCCCAGAAUCAGAGUUCCUAAAUAGCACUAAUGAUUUCACAGAUUUCAGGAAGAAUAGGGGACAUUGACCAUGACACAUAACGAUACUCAUUAAGUUGCAGAAUAGAAUACUUGUAAUUACCAAUUAAAAAGUGGGGUGAACAAAAUCUAAAUCCAUGGACAUGUAGGGUUGGAGCAGAGUCUCCUCAGCCUUAAUGGUAGCUUUGCGUGAAUCAGAAAAUGUGCUUUUCUUCCAGGUGGACACAACCCUAACCCAGGGUACACAGGUUAGUGAGAAAAGCUCUGGCUGGAUUCAGCUUUGUUUAUUCAUCUCCUCACAUGGAUGUUCUUUGUGGCCAUCUAAGAUAGAACAACAGCCUUCAAAGUUGCCUAACUCACUUUCCCACAUUCAGGCUCCUCUACCCCAUGACUUCCACCUCUUCCCCGCUGCCCGCAAUCCACUGGCACUCUCCGUAGCAGGAAGGAGAAAUAAGUGGCUUGACAGCUUUGACGCUCUCAUGAGGCCAACACAGUACUUCAAAACCAAACACUUAGGAAUUUCUUCUCAACCAUCGUUGCUGCAGCCCCAGGGAAAAUCAAGACAGAUGUGAGUGGUCAUGGAAGCUCACAGAUCAUAAAUUUGUUUUAGCUCUCACAUGUAAAGAGCUUAGAAGCUGUCACUCUCAUCCUUACAACAACAACAAAAAAAACCCUGGACAAACUCAUCACGUUGCUUGGACUCAUUGGAGAACUGAGACUUUAGAUUUACCCUGAAUUCUCAAGAGGCAAGAAGAUACAGAACGAUGCAGUCACUGAGUUUGCUUACCUGGAGCGGAAGGCACUGGAGCUGUAAACUCACAGGAACACUUAGAUGAGAUUUUGACAAUUUGCUGUAGGAUGAGUGUGGACUUUCUUGAGAGUAGGACUUAGUCUGGUGUAUGUUUGUUGGGGUGGGGUUAGGCCAUACUUUUCUGGGUUUUUCUUUCUGGAACCCCACCAGGUUUACAUAGUAAAGUUCCAAGAAAGAUCCUCUGGUGACCCUGGCAGGGAGAGGGAAAAAGUAAUCAUUUUGAAAUAUGCCCUGAGACUUUAUGAUACAGGCACAUUCUGCAGAGGAAAGGACUUUGCCAGAGCACAAUUCUGAAAUCUUAUCCCAGCAGGAGGAAGGAAAAUUCUUCCUAUUCUCUUAAACUUCCUUCAUUUUCUUGUUUUAACUAAGUGAAGAACUAAAAAGAUAGUCAACAGGAGACAAGGUUUGGAGAAAAUAGAUUGGGAAGGGAGUAGGGAGCAGGGGAGAAAAGAUAAGCCACUGUAGGAGGGAAAGAAAAACUUGUGAAGGCCAGAGUCCUGAGAUACAAGCCUGCUUACAGAUAGAGAGAGAAUCUAAGCAUUACAGAAGCCCCUCGCCCGCAUACCCUAACACUGCACCAAAAGGUUUCAGUGAAAUAACAGUGAUAAUAGCUGAAAGCACAUAGAGAAGCCCCACAGCCAAGAGGGUAGAUAAAAAGAAGGAUACUUAAGGAAUUAGAAGCCUCUGGUGCUUAUAGUUAUAGCAAAUAUUAAACACACCCAAUUCCUGACCAGAUGAUAUAGUUUGGCUCUGUGUCCCCACCCAAAUCUCAUCUUGAAUUGUAAUCCCCAUAAUCCUACAUGUCGAGGGAGGGACCAGGUGGGAGGUGAUUGGAUCAUGGGGGCGCUUUCCCCCAUGCUAUUCUCAUGAUAAUGAGUGAAUUCUCAUGAGAUCUGAUGGUUUUAAAGUGUGGCACUUUCUUGAUCAUGCUCACGCUCUCUCUUGCCGCCUUGUGAAGAAGGUGCCUGCUUCCCCUCCUGCCAUGAUUGUAAGUUUCCUGAGGCCUCCCCAGCCUUAUGGAACUGUGAAUCUAUUAAACCUCCUUUGUUUAUAAAUUACCCAGUCUUGGGUAGCAUCUUUACAGCAGUGUGAGACUGAACUAAUACAGUAUUUUGGUUACUGCAGAGAGUGGGGUACUGCAAUAAAAAUACUUGAAAAUAUGGAAGUGACUUUGGAACUGGGUAAUGGUCGGAGGUUGCGGGCGUUCAGAAAAAAGACAGGAAGAUAUGGGGAAGUUUGGGGCUUCCUAGAUACUUGAAUGGUUUUGACCAAAAUGUUGAUAGUGAUGUGAACAAUGAUGUCCAGGCUGAGGUGGUCUCAGAUAGAGAUGUGGAACUUACUGGGAACUGGAGUAAAGGUCACUCAUGCUACGCUUUAGCAAAGAGACUGGUGACAUUUUCCCCCUGCCCUAGAGAUCUGUGGAACUUUGAACUUGAGAGAGAUGAUUUAAGGCAUCUGGCAGAAAAAAAAUUUUCUAAGCAGCACAGCAUUCAAUAUGUGAUUUGGAUUAUUCUGACAGCAUUCAAUUUUAUGUGUUCAUAAAGAGAUAGUUUGUAAUUGGAACUUAUGUUUAAAAGGGAAGCAGAGCAUAAAAGUAUGGAAAAUUUGCAGCCUGACCAUGUGGUAGAAAAGAAAAAUCCAUUUCCUGGGGAGAAGCUCAAGCCUGCUGCAGAAAUUUGCAUAAGUAAUGAAGAGCCAAAUGUUAACUGCCAACACAAUGGAGAAAAUGUUUCCAGGACAUGUCAGAGGGCUUCCUGGCAGCCCCUCCCAUCACAGAUCUGAAAGCCUAGAAGGAAAAAUGGUUUUGUGGGCUAGGCCCAGGGCCUCUGCUCUGCAUAGCCUCAGGACAUGGUGCCCUGCAUCCUAGCUGCUUCAGCUCCAGUCAUGGCUAAAAGGGGAUAAGGUACAGCUCAGGCUCUUGCUUCAGAGGGUGCAAGCCCCAAGCCUUGGUGGCUUCCAUGUGAUGUUGGUCAUGCAGGUGCACAGAAGUCAAGAAUUGAAGUUUGGGAACCUCCGCCUAGGUUUUAGAGGCUGUAUGGAAAUGCCUGGAUGUCCAGGAAGAAGUCUGCUGCAGGGGCAGAGCCCUUGUGGAGAACCUCUGCUAGGACAGUGAGGAUGGGAAAUGUGGGGUUGGAGACCUUACACAGAGUCCCCACUGGGGCACAGCCUAGUGGAGUUUUGAGAAGAAGGCCACUGUCUUCUAGACCCCAGAAUGGUAGGUCCAUCCACAGCUUGUACCAUGUACCUUGAAAAGCCACAGGCACUCAAUGCUAGACUGUGAAAGAGCUACCCAAAGGUGAGGGAAGCCCAUCCCUUGCAUCAAUAUGACCUGGAUGUGAGACAUGGAGUCAAAGGAGAUUAUUUUGUAGCUUUAAGAUUUAAUGACUACGCUGCUGGAUUUUGGACUUGCAAGAGGCCUGAAGCCCCUUUGUUUUGACCAAUUUCUCCCAUUGUGAAUGGGAGCAUUUAUCCAAUGCCUGUAUCCCCAUUGUAUCUUGGAAGUAACUAAUUCGCUUUUAUUUUACAGGCUCCUAGGCAGAAGGGACUUGCCUUGUCUGAGAUGAGACUUUGGACUUGGAUUUUUGGGUUAAUGCUGGAAUGAGUUAAGACUUUGGGGAACUGUUAGGAAGGCAUGAUUAGUUUUAAAAUGUGUAAAGACAUCAGAUUUGGGAGCAGAGGGGAGGUGGAAUGAUAUGCUUUGGCUCUGUGUUCCCACUCAAAUAUCACCGGAAUUGUAACCCCUAUAAUCCCCAUGUGUUGAGGCAGGGGCCAGGUGGGAGGUGAUUGGAUCAUGGGGUCAGUUUCUCCAAGCUGCUCUCAUGAUAGUGAGUGAGUUCUCAUGAGAGCUGAUGGUUUUAAAGUGUGGCACUUCCUCAAUCAUGCACAUACUCUCUCCUGCCACCUUGAGAAGAAAGUGCCUUCUUCCCCUUCUGCUAUGAUUACAAGUUUCCUGAGGUCUCCAAGCUAUGCAGAAAUGUGAGUCAACUGAACCUCUUUUCUUUAUAAAUUACCCAGUUUCGGGUAGUAUCUUUAUAGCGCUAUAAGAAUGAAAUAAUUCACCAGAUUAACAUAAAUUGUCACACUAAUGACCUAUCUGAAUCUUCAGUUUCUAUUACAUGAUAAUAUAUCUCCAGCCUUCAACAAAAACGUUUCUUGCCAAAAGGCAAGAAAAAGUCUAUAGAAAAAAUAAUCAUCUGAAACAAACUUAGAUAUGGCACAGAUACUGGAAUUAUCAGGCAGUGUAUUUAAAAUAACUAUGACUAACAUGUCAAGGGCUAUAAUGGAAAAGCUAGACAAUAUGCAAAAACAGGUGCAAUGUGAGCAGAGGGAUAGAAACCAUAAGCAAGAAUCAUAAGGGAAAAAAUACAGUAACAUAAAUGAAGAAUGCCCCUUGGGGACUCAUCAAUUGAUUUGACACAGCUGAGGGAAAAAAAGUGAAGUUGAAGAUAGGUCAAUAGAAACUUCCUAAGCUAUAAUGCAAAAUUGAUUAAAAAAAUUGUGACACAUUAUCAAAAGAUGUAACAUACACAUAGUUGAAAUACUAAAAGGAGAAGGAACAGAGAAUAGAGCAGAAGUAUUUGAUGUAAAAAUUGCUAAUAAUCUUCCAAAAUUAAUGACAGACACCAACCUACAAAUCCAGGAAGCUUAGAGAACCACCAAGCAGAAUAAAUUUCA